rnacentral:lncRNA from 1 species
UCCUGUGAGAAAUAUCGAAUUUACGAGACACAGAAAUAGCAUCUGAAGUGAGAGAAGCAUGCAGACUCAUGUUAUAGAGGAAUAUUACAGGAUUUUACACUGUCUGACGGUUUUGCCGUGGAGAGAGGUCUCGUGCAACAUUGAUAAGUAAAACUUGAAGAUGACUGGGAUGGACAAAGCCAUGACAGGACCAACCUGUAACAGAGUGGACAAGAACAUAAGAAAUGAAGGGUUUAAACAGAACUGGACCAGUGGAGAAAUAAACCAGUGCAGAACUAAACCAGUGCAGAACUGGACCAGUGCAGAACUAAAGCAGUGCAGAACUAAACCAGUGCAGAACUGGACCAGUGCAGAACUAAAGCAGUGCAGAACUGGACCAGUGCAGAACUAAAGCAUUGCAGAACUGGACCAGUGCAGAACUAAAGCAGUGCAGACUGAUGCUUCCAGUGCUGCUCAUCCAAGUGAGUUUUCAAAAAAUACCUUCACAAUUCUUCACUGUACACUGUAGUUGUAGAUGCAGUUGAUGGUGUACUUUUUACUGUAGGUAUAGUUAAACAUAAUUUUGGGUGUCUGUUUACAUAUACUUUGUUGCAAUUAUUUUGUUUUGUAAUCAGCCCAACCCCUUUUUAUAUAUAUCUAGAUACAUGCAGCUCCCUUUUUCAUAUGCUGCAAUCUGUGCGAGACGGACGUAACGUUUGUAUCUGUAUCUGUAAUCAUAGUUUUCAUAUCUAUUUUCAUAUUUAGAGCGGUAGAUAUACCUAAUUUUCCAUGUCUGUAGCUGUGAAUGCAAUUGUAAUUUUAUUAAAUAAUACUGUACACUGAUAAAAAAAGAAAGAAACCAAUCCUAGUAAUUCUCUGUCAUGUUCAGCUGACAGAAGGGUGGGUAGGUAGAAGCUGUAUUUGAUAGUGCUAUAUCAGUGAUAUGUAAAAUCA